GUGCCAGCAGCCGCGGUAAUACGUAGGUGGCAAGCGUUAUCCGGAAUUACUGGGCGUAAAGCGCACGCAGGCGGUUUGGUAAGUUUGACGUGAAAGCUCCCGGCUUAACUGGGAGAGGUCGUUGAAGACUGCCAGACUUGAGUUUAGGAGAGGGGUGUAGAAUUCCCGGUGUAGUGGUGGAAUGCGUAGAUAUCGGGGGGAAUACCAGUGGCGAAAGCGGCACCCUAGCCUUUGACUGACGCUCAUGUGCGAAAGCGUGGGGAGCAAACAGGAUUAGAUACCCUGGUAGUCC
rnacentral:rRNA from 1 species